GAAGUUCGAAAGUCCACAGAAGACUUUGAUAACCCAAAAAUCUGACAUGUAAGGUUGAGGAGAAUCCAGGGAGGAUCUAUCUUCCGGGCUAAAAUGUCCAUGAUAAUCUGGCACGGGUGCUGUUUUGUAAAGAGUGUCUAUUGACUUAGCUUUGCCGUUUUAGUGGUGCAAAGAUAUACCCAGGCAAAGGCAUCAGAUUUGUUCGAUCAGACUCCCAGGUUUUCCUCUUUGCCAAUUCAAAAUGCAAGUCGUACUUUCACAACCGGCUGAAGCCUGCCAAGCUCAUCCGGACAGCAAUGUACAGGAAGCAGCAUAAGAAGGACAUUCAUGCUGAAGCUGUAAAGAAGAGACGUCGUACUACAAAGAAGCCUUAUUCAAGGUCAAUUAUUGGUGCUACUUUGGAAGUCAUUCGGAAAAAGCGAUCAGAGAAGCCUGAAGUUCGUGAUGCUGCUAGAGAAGCGGCUCUGAGAGGAAUCAACGGGUUAAGAAAACCAAGAAUGAAAAGAAAGCUAAGAAGGCUGAGCUAAUAGCUAGAUCUCAGAAGAGUACUCAGACAAAAGGCAGCAUGGCGAAGGCUCCAAAAGGCCUUUAGUUCGGUGGCGGUGGUUGGAAGCGAUGAAUCAUAACGUUCUGUUCGUGUAUCCGAUUCUGCUUCAUACCUUUGUGGAGUCUUUAACUGUCUAAAUUGUGUAACCUUCCCUACUUCUAAACAAUUUUCAUGAUGGUAGCGGCAUCUGGGAACUAACUGUUCUUGAAGGGAAAUUUUGGUAGUCUAAUACCAGUUUGCUUUGGUUGCUUUGCUCUCA